rnacentral:rRNA from 1 species
AGUCGAACGGCAGUAGCAAUACUGUAGUGGCGAACGGGUGAGUAACACGUUGGUGACCUGCCCAAAAGAUGGGAAUAUCACCUGGAAACGGGUGGCAAAACCGAAUAAGCCCGAGGGAGUUAGAGAGCCUUGAGUAAAAGAGUGAUCUACUUUGGGAGGGGCCUGCGGCCCAUCAGUUAGUUGGUGAGGGUAACGGCCCACCAAGACGAAGACGGGUAGGGGACCUGAGAGGGUGGUCCCCCACAAUGGAACUGAAACACGGUCCAUACACCUACGGGUGGCAGCAGUAGGGAAUAUUGCUUAAUGGGCGAAAGCCUGAAGCAGCAACGCCGCGUGGACGAAGGAGGCCUUCGGGUCGUAAAGUCCUUUUAUGUGGGAAAAGGAAGGAUGGUACCACAUGAAUAAGUCUCGGCUAACUACGUGCCAGCAGCCGCGGUAAAACGUAGGAGACGAGCGUUAUCCGGAUUUACUGGGCGUAAAGAGCGUGUAGGAGGCAUAUCAAGUUGGAUGUAAAAUCUCCCGGCUUAACUGGGAGGCGUCGUUCAAAACUGAUGAGCUAGAGUACUGUAGAGGUAAUCGGAACUCCGGGAGUAGCGGUGAAAUGCGUAGAUAUCCGGAAGAACACCAGAGGCGAAAGCGGAUUACUGGACAGAAACUGACACUGAGACGCGAAAGCCAGGGUAGCAAACGGGAUUAGAGACCCCGGUAGUCCUGGCCGUAAACGAUGUAGACUCGUCGUUUGGGAGGUAAAACUUCUGAGUGACUAAGCAAACGCAAUAAGUCUACCGCCUGGGGAGUACGGUCGCAAGAUUAAAACUCAAAGGAAUUGACGGGGGCCCGCACAAGCAGCGGAGCGUGUGGUUUAAUUCGAUGAUACGCGAAGAACCUUACCAGGGUUUGACAUACAAGUGGUAGUGAAGGGAAACCGGAACGACCCUCGGGGAGCUUGAACAGGUGCUGCAUGGCUGUCGUCAGCUCGUGUCGUGAGAUGUUCGGUUAAGUCCGCUAACGAGCGCAACCCAUGUCGUGUGUUACAAGUAUCACGCGAGACCGCCGGUAGAAAGCCGGAGGAAGGUGUGGAUGACGUCAAGUCAGCAUGGCCUUUAUAUCCUGGGCUACACACACGCUACAAUGGCCGGUACAAUGGGAAGCGAAGGAGCGAUCCGGAGCGAAUCCUCCAAAACCGGCCCCAGUUCAGAUUGCAGGCUGCAACUCGCCUGCAUGAAGAUGGAGUUGCUAGUAAACGCAGGUCAGCGAUACUGCGUUGAAUACGUUCCCGGGCCUUGUACACACCGCCCGUCACGUCAUGGGAGUUGGCAACACCUGAAGC